AGUGAACGCUGGCGGUAGGCCUAACACAUGCAAGUCGAACGGCAGCACAGUAAGAGCUGGCUCUUACGGGUGGCGAGUGGCGGACGGGGGAGGAAUACAUCGGAAUCUACUUUUUCGUGGGGGAUAACGUAGGGAAACUUACGCUAAUACCGCAUACGACCUACGGGUGAAAGCAGGGGAUCUUCGGACCUUGCGCGAGUGAAUGAGCCGAUGUCGGAUUAGCUAGUUGGCGGGGUAAAGGCCCACCAAGGCGACGAUCCGUAGCUGGUCUGAGAGGAUGAUCCGACACACUGUCACUGAGACACGGUCCCGACUCCUACGCGAGGCAGCAGUGGGGAAUAUUGGACAAUGGGCGAAAGCCUGAUACAGCCAUACCGCGUGGGUGAAGAAGGCCUUCGGGUUGUAAAGCCCUUUUGUUGGGAAAGAAAAGCAGCAGGUUAACACCCCGCUGUUAUGACGGUACCCAAAGAAUAAGCACCGGCUAACUUCGUG
rnacentral:rRNA from 1 species